GCUAAUUAGGUGUUUUGCACAUUGACUUUUCGCGUCAAGGGAGCAUAUCAACUGCACUUAGCU
rnacentral:tRNA from 1 species